rnacentral:rRNA from 1 species
AUUGAACGCUGGCGGCAUGCUUUACACAUGCAAGUCGAACGGUAACAGGCCUUCGGGUGCUGACGAGUGGCGAACGGGUGAGUAAUGCAUCGGAACGUGCCCAAUCGUGGGGGAUAACGUAGCGAAAGUUACGCUAAUACCGCAUAAGCCCUGAGGGGGAAAGUGGGGGACCGCAAGGCCUCACGCGAAUGGAGCGGCCGAUGUCAGAUUAGCUAGUUGGUGGGGUAAAGGCCCACCAAGGCGACGAUCUGUAGCGGGUCUGAGAGGAUGAUCCGCCACACUGGGACUGAGACACGGCCCAGACUCCUACGGGAGGCAGCAGUGGGGAAUUUUGGACAAUGGGCGAAAGCCUGAUCCAGCCAUGCCGCGUGAGUGAAGAAGGCCUCGGUUGUAAGAC